rnacentral:rRNA from 1 species
UACGUAGGUGGCAAGCGUUGUCCGGAUUUACUGGGCGUAAAGAGCGCGCAGGCGGUCGUUCAAGUCGCGUGUGAAAGCCCCCGGCUCAACUGGGGAGGGUCACGCGAUACUGAUCGACUCGAAGGCAGGAGAGGGUAGUGGAAUUCCCGGUGUAGUGAUGAAAUGCGUAGAUAUCGGGAGGAACACCAGUGGCGAAGGCGACUACCUGGCCUGUUUCUUGACGCUGAGGCGCGAAAGCUAGGGGAGCAAACGGG